UAGCCAUGAUGCAUAAUAGUUUAUUUUAGACAUGUUAAAUGUAUGUUACAAUUAAAGAAUGUGCUAGAGACUAGUAAGCCCUCAAUAAAAAUUAUAUUAAGUCAUAGUGUUGAAAAACUUUGAGCUAACCCAUUCUAGAACAAUUAAUCUAAUUGGUGUCUAACGAAAGCACUAAAGGUGGUUACUUAAUUAGGAUCUUACUCUCUGAGUAA
rnacentral:lncRNA from 1 species